GACAGAGGUCCCGAGCGUUAGGCGGAAUCACUGGGCUUAAAGCGUGUGUAGGCGGAUUUGUAAGUACCUUGUGAAAUCCCACGGCUUAACCGUGGAACUGCUUGGUAUACUGCUUAUCUUGGGCCAUUUAGGGGCGAGCGGAACAAACGGUGGAGCGGUGAAAUGCGUAGAUAUCGUUUGGAACGCCAAUGGUGAAAACAGCUCGCUGGGAAUGUGCCGACGUUGAGACACGAAAGCCAGGGGAGCGAACGGG
rnacentral:rRNA from 1 species